GAAGAUGCAUGUUCGUAGCGGCGGACGGGUGAGUAACGCGUGAGCAACCUGUCCCUUACAGGGGGAUAACACAGCGAAAGUUGUACUAAUACCGCAUAAGACCACGGGAGGACAUCCUUCAGGGGUCAAAGGAGGAAUCCGGUAAGGGGUGGGGCUCGCGUCCGAUUAGAUAGUUGGUGAGGUAACGGCCCACCAAGUCGACGAUCGGUAGCCGACCUGAGAGGGUGAUCGGCCACAUUGGGACUGAGACACGGCCCAAACUCCUACGGGAGGCAGCAGUGGGGAAUAUUGGGCAAUGGGGGGAAACCCUGACCCAGCAACGCCGCGUGAGGGAAGAAGGUUUUCGGAUCGUAAACCUCUGUCCUUGGUGAAGAGGAAGAGACGGUAGCCAAGGAGGAAGCCCCGGCUAACUACGUGCCAGCCGCCGC
rnacentral:rRNA from 1 species